AGUCGAGGGGUAACAGAAAAGCUUGCUUUUGCUGACGACCGGCGCACGGGUGCGUAACGCGUAUGCAACCUACCUCAUACUGGAGGAUAGCCCCUGGAAACGGGGAUUAAUACUCCAUAGUAUCACAAUUUCGCAUGUUAUUGUGAUUAAAGUUUUUCGGUAUGAGAUGGGCAUGCGUCCCAUUAGCUUGUUGGUGAGGUAACGGCUCACCAAGGCAACGAUGGGUAGGGGGCCUGAGAGGGUGGUCCCCCACACUGGUACUGAGACACGGACCAGACUCCUACGGGAGGCAGCAGUGAGGAAUAUUGGUCAAUGGAGGAAACUCUGAACCAGCCAUGCCGCGUGAAGGAUGACGGCCCUAUGGGUUGUAAACUUCUUUUAUAGAGGAAGAAACUUGUCUACGUGUAGACAACUGACGGUACUCUACGAAUAAGGAUCGGCUAACUCCGUGCCAGCAGCCGCGGUAAUACGGAGGAUCCAAGCGUUAUCCGGAUUCAUUGGGUUUAAAGGGUCCGUAGGCGGAUUUUUAAGUCAGUGGUGAAAGCCGACAGCUCAACUGUCGAACUGCCAUUGAUACUGGAAAUCUUGAGUACAAAUGAAGUAGGCGGAAUGAGUCAUGUAGCGGUGAAAUGCAUAGAUAUGACUCAGAACACCGAUUGCGAAGGCAGCUUACUAACAUGUAACUGACGCUGAGGGACGAAAGCGUGGGGAGCGAACAGGAUUAGAUACCCUGGUAGUCCACGCCGUAAACGAUCAUCACUCGCUGUUGGCGAUAUACUGUCAGCGGCCAAGCGAAAGUAUUAAGUGAUGCACCUGGGGAGUACGCCGGCAACGGUGAAACUCAAAGGAAUUGACGGGGGCCCGCACAAGCGGUGGAGCAUGUGGUUUAAUUCGAUGAUACGCGAGGAA
rnacentral:rRNA from 1 species